GGAGUUGGCUAGACAGUCGCUCUGGUGUUAACUACGUAAUUCUCUUGAGUAUUGCGCGGUGCAUCGGGGAGGAAAGUCCGGGCUCCAUAGGGUAGAGCGCCAGGUAACGCCUGGGAGGUGUGAGCCUACGGAAAGUGCAACAGAAAGCAAACCGCCUAAGUUCAAGGUGCCUGAUCGCUUUAGCGUGAUGGCAAACCAGAACUGGUAAGGGUGAAAGGGUGCGGUAAGAGCGCACCGCGCGGCUGGUAACAGUCCGUGGCAUGGUAAACCCCGCUCGGAGCAAGACCAAAUAGGAAUCCUUCAGGUGUGGCCCGCACUGGAUUCGGGUAGGUUGCUUGAGGUAUGCGGUGACGCAUAUCCCAGAUGAAUGACUGUUCUCGACAGAACCCGGCUUAUCGGCCAACUCCACCU
rnacentral:RNase_P_RNA from 1 species